rnacentral:tRNA from 1 species
GUUAUGGUAGCCUAAAAAUUUAAGGCGUUGGUCUUGUAAACCAAAAAUUGGAGGUGAAAUGCCUCCCCAAAACA